rnacentral:rRNA from 1 species
GACGAACCGUCCGAACGUUUAUUCGGAAUCACUGGGCUUAAAGGGUGCGUAGGCGGCGCGGAAAGUUGGGUGUGAAAUCCCUCGGCUCAACCGAGGAACUGCGCCCAAAACUACCGUGCUCGAGGGAGAUAGAGGUGAGCGGAACUUAGGGUGGAGCGGUGAAAUGCGUUGAUAUCCUAAGGAACACCGGUGGCGAAAGCGGCUCACUGGAUCUCUUCUGACGCUGAGGCACGAAAGCUAGGGUAGCGAACGGG